UACGGGAGGCAGCAGUGGGGAAUAUUGCACAAUGGGCGAAAGCCUGAUGCAGCUAUGCCGCGUGUAUGAAGAAGGCCUUAGGGUUGUAAAGUACUUUCAUCGGGGAGGAAAAACAAAACUAAUAAUUUUAUUUCUUGACGUUACCCGAAAAAGAAGCACCGGCUAACUCCGUGCCAGCAGCCGCGGUAAUACGGAGGGUGCUAGCGUUAAUCAGAAUUACUGGGCGUAAAGAGCACGUAGGUGGUUUUUUUAAGUCAGAUGUGAAAUCCCUGGGCUUAACCUAGGAACUGCAUUUUGAAACUGAAAUACUAGAGUAUCGUAGAGGGAGGUAGAAUUCUAGGUGUAGCGGUGAAAUGCGUAGAUAUCUGGAGGAAUACCUGUGGCGAAAGCGGCCUCCUAAACGAAUACUGACACUGAGGGUGCGAAAGCGUGGGGAGCAAACGAGGGAUUAGAUACCCGU
rnacentral:rRNA from 1 species